UUGGGAGGCUAGCUCAUAAUAAAAGCAUCUCUACUGGCCACAGCCCAGUGGGAAAGGAUGGCCUUCAGCCAAGCCAAGCACUCUUUUGCCAACCACACCCGAACUGUAGCAUCUGCUCUGCUUCUCCACUCAGCUCCAGUCAUGACGUGAACAUGACAUCUCUACAAACACCUUCCCAGAAUGAACGAAGUCUGCCCAGCAACCAAUUGGCUGGAAGCUUCAGUCCAGGAAGCACCAAUUACAGCAGCAUCUGUGAUAGUCCCUUAUGUUUUGUCUGAUGCGGAUGAGGUGCUACAAGUUGUCAGCCGCAGACCUCUCUCGUGUGGCCUUGCCCGAUGUCACACUCUUGCAUCAUGAGGUGAAGAUGGAGUGUGUUGUCUCAGCCACAGACGGAUGUCCGCAGUUGGCCUCUGGAGUCUCAGACCACAAAGUGAGAGGAGUAAUUGAGUAUCAGUGGUCAGCCCCCUUCAGGCUUACUAAAGGGGGAAGAGAUCAUGCCUCCAAAUACCUUUAAGCUCAGUCGAAUCUGGCACACAUUAAUCUCUCUGCUUCCAACUGUUUAAAAGCCUACUGAACUUUUGAGAUUUUCACAAACUGCAGGAUAGCUGAAAGUUUGGAAUAAAUAAUUAAUCUGCUUUAAAACAUACAAAUACAGCAUGAGUAUGAGUUUUGCAUUAUAUAUAUGUGACCCUGGGCCACAAAACCAGUCAUAAGUCACACGGGUAUAUUUGUAGCAAUAGCCAACAAUACAUUGUAUGGGUCAAAAUUAUCAAUUUUUCUUUUAUGCCAAAAAUCAUUAGGAUAUUAAGUAAAGAUCAUGUUCCAUGAAGAUGUUUUGUAAAUUUCCUACCGUAAAUAUAUCAAAAAUGUAUUUUUGUGAGUGGAUAUGCAUUGCUAAGGACUUCAUUUGGACAACUUUAAAGGCGAUUUUCUCAAUAUUUUGAUUUUUUUUGCACCCUCAGAUUCCAGAUAUUCAAAUAGUCGUAUCUUGGCCAAAUAUUGUCCUAUCCUAACAAACCAUGCAUCAAUAGAAAGCUUAUUUAUUUAGCUUUUUAGAUGAUGUAUAAAUCUCAAUUUCAAAAAUUUACCCUUAUGACUGGUUUUGUGGUCCAGGGUCACAUAUAUUUAUUUAUUUAACCAUUAAAAGGUAGUAAAUGACAUUUACAGCAUUGUGCACAGUGCCAGCAUGUGUUUGCCAAAUAAAAUGAGCAUUUCCAAUUUGGCUUCUAACAGUAACUGACACACCAAUUCAUUUUAAUAUAUGACUAUAUUUCUUCUCUACUCUGUAACUCUUAGUUCCAAAUCAUAACACUGCCCUAUGUCACAAGGAAAAACUUCAGACACAAUAUUUGUGCUUAAACUUUACAUCACCGGUGACAGAAAUGGGCUUUGAAGACUAUUCACAGUGCGGCGAUGUCACCACCAUGUCUUGGAUUGCCUUUGAGUUGCACCAUAUCGAACCCCUGCUGAUGUGGUUACCUUAGUCCCACAGUGGUGAGAUAGAAAAAGAUAUUUUAAGUAAAAAAAGAAAAUGAACAAAAAGCGAGCAAUAACUCUUCAUGUUUUCAGUCUUGUGGUGGAAUAUCCUCUUUUCUCCCGGGAAUGGCUUUUGUUCUAGCUGGAAUCAGAAUAUCAAUCAAAGCAAACUGUAAAUGAGACACAGAGGGAUGUGAAAGUAGUGCUGUUGCUAAUUGAUCAAUGGCUUGUUCAAGGACUUAAGAGUCUGACUGGUCUCAUUAGCUCAAAUGUACGGAGGUCUUUGAAUACGGCACCUUUCAGAGAAAACAUCGCCAGAGGGCAUUCUUACUCCCCUCAAAUAAAACUGCAACUGAAAAUA